AUACAUGAGCAAAAUCUCAACUUUAUUAGAGGAGACGCAUUUAUUAGAUAAAAAGCCAAUGCAUGCUUUUACAGUAUGAAAAUUGGUGAUUUAUAAUAACUUAGCAAAUCGCAAAGUGAAAACAGGCGAUAAAUCAUUCAAGUUUCUGACCUAUCAGCUUUCGACGGUAUGGUAUUGGCUUACCGUGGCAGUGACGGUUAACGGGGGAUUAGGGUUCGAUUCCGGAGAGGGAGCCUGAGAAACGGCUACCACAUCUAAGGAAGGCAGCAGGCGCGCAAAUUACCCAAUUCUAACAGUUUGAGAGAGGUAGUAACAAGAAAUAACAAUACAAGGCAGUUAAAAUGCUUUGUAAUUGGAAUGAUAGAAAUUUAAACCCUUUUUAAAGUAUCAAUUGGAGGGCAAGUCUGGUGCCAGCAGCCGCGGUAAUUCCAGCUCCAAUAGCGUAUAUUAAAAUUGUUGCAGUUAAAAAGCUCGUAGUUGAAGUUCUGCUAAAAGUAACCGGUCUGCUUUUAAUAAAGGUGGUAUCUUGGUGUGUAUUUAGCAAUGAUGUCCUUUGAAGUGUUUUUUACUUUAUUGUAAUAAAGCAUAUUCAGGACUUUUACUUUGAGAAAAUUAGAGUGUUUCUAGCAGGCUAACGCUUUGAAUACUGCAGCAUGGAAUAAUAAG
rnacentral:rRNA from 1 species